GCCUUUUCUGUAAUGGGUUUGUCUGAUGUGGCCAUGCAUUCCUUUUGCGAGGUGGUUACAUCUUCUGUCUGAUCGGUGAUAUCCUGUUUUUAAUAGGAUUUGGGGUAUCGGUGAUCAAUUGGGAGUGUCUCCAUGUUGUCCUCCUCACCUAACUUUGUUGUUUCUUCCACCACAUCUCCUUCCUUAAGUGCAGAAUAGUGGAAGAUCUGGUAGUGUUUGAUAUAAAAAUGAGACCAUUCUACGCUUCAAUUUACACUGCGAUUAAGGAGAUGUUGGACUCCUAGGUUACAAAUGAUAUUUGAGAUAAAAAUGAGACCAUUCUACGCUUCAAUUUACACUGCGAUUAAGGAGAUGUUGGACUCCUAGGUUACAAAUGACGUGUGUUGACCUUGAGGUUUAAGCCAUGGAUAUCGUUGAUAUUCCAUCCAAGUUCAUGAUGAAGGCGACACUCACCAUCUGCAGCUUCCAAAUCCAUUAACAACACUAUAGCCACCAAGGCCAAGUGACAUUUUUUAUUUGUUUGACAUUUUUUAAUAAAUUAAAAGAUAGAGGUAGUACUAUUGAUGUUUUACAUAGUGUUUCAUCCAGCAGAUAGUUCUUCUAUUUGAUGUUUUAUUACCAUCGAUUUCUACAUAUGCUUAAUAUAGUGUUCUACAAACUGUUUUUUGGGUCUAGAAGCCAAUGCUAGCCCCAAAAUAUUUAUCCAUUUCUUCUAUUUUCUGGAUUA